CCUAGGGAGGCAGCAGUGGGGGAUAUUGCACAAUGGGGGAAACCCUGAUGCAGCGACGCCGCGUGUAGGAAGACGGUCCUCUGGAUUGUAAACUACUGUCCCCAGGGACGAAGAUGACGGUACCUGGGGAGGACGCUCCGGCUAACUACGUGCCAGCCGCCGCGGUAAUACGUAGGGAGCGAGCGUUGUCCGGAAUUACUGGGUGGAAAGGGAGCGUAGGCGGGGAUGCAAGUUGGGUGUUAAAUCUACCGGCUCAACUGGUAGUCGCACUCAAAACUGCAGCUCUUGAGUGAAGUAGAGGCAGGCGGAAUUCCUAGUGUAGCGGUGAAAUGCGUAGAUAUUAGGAGGAACACCAGUGGCGAAGGCGGCCUGCUGGGCUUUGACUGACGCUGAGGCUCGAAAGUGUGGGGAGCAAACAGGAUUAGAUACCCGGGUAGUC
rnacentral:rRNA from 1 species